GCCAAUGUAAUAUAGUGGUUUGAGUGUUGGAUUUCAACCCUGAAGAUCAGGGUUCAAAUCCCUACUCAGGCU